CCUACCUCGAAGGGCUGUCAUGAAGACAAAAGGAGAUAAAGGAGGCUUACAUGAGAUAACACCGACGGAGCGCAGGGGGCAAGGAAUUAUUGCAGAGGAUCUGCAUCUCCGUUGGCACAUCAGGCCCACUGUCCACAUUGAAUUUACACUGCCCGCGCACAUGUGGUCAACCAUUUUCCAUACACACUGAGCACUGUCGCUGUCACGUGGGAGUCUGCAGAUGUGUUUGCCACGAGAUGAGAGUCCUCAGAGGCCCCCAGGAAGAUGAUGCAGAGCCAAAAGGACCAGAGGAAAGGCUGCCUGGUCAGAGGUCAACGCCAUUGGAGGUCCAGUCAACAGGGCCUCACUGAGGUCACUUCGUCUGGCUCCUGCCAUCGGCCACACCCAGCUGAGCACAGCCUUCCUUUUGCAGCUUUUUUGAAACUGUAUGAUGAAAUAGAAGAGAAUUGGUGUCACGCAGAAUAGAACAUGAGCUCUGCUAACCUUCUCCAUCGACUCUGGAAGGCCACUUUCCUGCUCUAAGAAGCAGUGGCCUGGUGAGACUUUCCUGAGCAGCAGCCAUCUCUAAGGGCUGCUGGGCAAAAGCAAACUGGCUGGACUUUGGGCUCAGAAGAACCACAACAGCACAGACAAACAAACAACUGUCUAAGUAGAAAUGCAUUGGGCAAUGCCCGAGUAUAUAGAGGUUCUUGCACAGCAUUGUUCCUGAGACGGGGCAGACCAGAGACAGAGACCCCUGACAGGGAAAGGGAACGGGCUUGGGUCUCGCCAUGUGCCUAUCCCGCGGGCUCAGUUGAAUGCAUAACUCUCGUCGGAGCUGAACUUCUGGCUGUAAACAUGUGGUUGGAUUUACUUUGCUUUUCCAAAGUGGACACUUGGGCCAGCCUCACAACAACACAAAAGUGUAUGCAUUAUUUACCAGCCACUAGAAAAGUCGGCUUAGGAGGCAAAGAACAGGUUUCCAUUCUAACCCCCAUCAGAGAGCCAUAGAAGCGUGGGACAUUAGAGCUUUCCAGAACCUCAGAGAUUUCCCUUCAUUGUUCCCUCAAUCUUUGGGUGAGGAAACUGAGGCCAAGUCUGUAUCCUGCCCAAGACCACGUGCUCACUGAUGGUUGGGACCAGAUCUUUUUCAUUUCUAGGCCCUCAUUGUCUGGCAGAGUGCCUGAGUCAUGGUGGGAGCUCAAAAAAUGAUGACAAACACAUGGACAAAAAUAUUGACAAAAGGGUAAAAAUAGUGGAAUGAGAUGAGAGAUGUCUGCCCCUGUCCCUGUCCCACGGCUGUUCCCGUAGAAAUGGUGGCGUCUCUGUAAGCACAAGAACACCUUGCUUCAAAACAGAGUUCAUGUUGUUAAAACAGGGUGAGGCCAUUUCAAGUUCCAGUUUGUGAUCUGACCAACUUGAGGGGCUAAGGUGAGCUUCUUCCUUCUUUGGGACAGUGUUGAGACCUAUGUCCUUUGAACUCUGCCCUGGUUCAGUCCUCUCCGUCUUCUCUGCCCUAAUUGCUGCCUGAUGAAGGAUACUGAAGACAUUUAGCUGGCCAGGAUGUGCGCUGUGACUGUGUCCAUCUUUGUUGACCUCCCCACCCAGGCUGAGUGAGACUUUCCCAUCCUCUCAAACCUAUCCUUUCAUAAAAUCCUUUCACCCGUAAGCUGCAAUAUUGGAAUCACCUGCAACAUCUUAAAAAUGCUGAUACCUGGAUCCCUUCCCAAGAGGUUCUGAUUUAAUUUCUCUGGAGCACAGCUUGGGCAUCAGAACGCUAAGUCUGGGUUCCCGGCUAGGUGUUGCUAAUGUGCAGCCAAGCCUGAGAACCUCUGUGUCAGCUCCAUUGUCUCCCCAUUACCUACGUAGUCUUUGGCAUUCAAUGAAUGUUUGUUGAAUGAAUGAAUGAAGGAUGAGGAAGAAAUGA
ensembl:lncRNA